rnacentral:misc_RNA from 1 species
AAGUCGUAACAAGGUCUCCGUAGGUGAACCUGCGGAGGGAUCAUUAACACUGACUGAUUAUGUUGUGUGAUGAAGCGCAAGCUUUUGACUCACUUCACUAAGAUUAUUCUAAUCUAAGCACAACUCUUAGCAACGGAUAUCUUGGUUCUC